rnacentral:rRNA from 1 species
CACGUAGGGCGCAAGCGUUGUCCGGAAUUAUUGGGCGUAAAGAGCUCGUAGGCGGACUGUCACGUCUGCUGUGAAAAGCUGGGGCUUAACCCUGGCCUUGCAGUGGAUACGGGCAGACUAGAGGUAGGUAGGGGAGAAUGGAAUUCCCGGUGUAGCGGUGAGAUGCGCAGAUAUCGGGAGGAACACCGGUGGCGAAGGCGGUUCUCUGGGCCGAUACUGACGCUGAGGAGCGAAAGCGUGGGGAGCGAACAGG